rnacentral:rRNA from 1 species
AUUGAACGCUGGCGGCAUGCCUUACACAUGCAAGUCGAACGGUAACGCGGGGCAACCUGGCGACGAGUGGCGAACGGGUGAGUAAUGCAUCGGAACGUGCCCAGUAGUGGGGGAUAGCCCGGCGAAAGCCGGAUUAAUACCGCAUACGACCUACGGGUGAAAGCGGGGGACCGUAAGGCCUCGCGCUAUUGGAGCGGCCGAUGUCAGAUUAGGUAGUUGGUGGGGUAAAGGCCUACCAAGCCUACGAUCUGUAGCUGGUCUGAGAGGACGACCAGCCACACUGGGACUGAGACACGGCCCAGACUCCUACGGGAGGCAGCAGUGGGGAAUUUUGGACAAUGGGCGCAAGCCUGAUCCAGCCAUGCCGCGUGCGGGAAGAAGGCCUCGG